UGCAGCUUCACUCCCACUUCACAGACUCAAACUCCCUCCCAAGGGUGCAGGGAGGAUCUGCAGUCCUGGUCUUUGCAGUCCUCUCUGUCUCUGGGCCACCACCAAGUGGGAUCUCCAGGGUCCUCAGGAGCACUCCUCCUGCCAGCGGGUACAAGUAAGUGGUGGGGAACUCGGUGGAGCUCGAGGAGGCAGCCAGGAUGCGGCCCGCCCCCCAACCUGCCAGCCACCAGUUGCCAGCAGCUGAUAAUGAUCUGCAGGGCCUGGGGGUGGAGGGGGGAGGGCGCAGAGCUAAAGCCUUGGGCUUUCGGGGUUGGGGCUGUGUCUCCCAGGACUUGAGUGGCUGGGCAGGUCUCUGUGCACAUGUCUCUGCCGAAAAGGAUCUUAGACAAACUCCCCAUCCACCUCCUUCCUUGGCAGCCAAGAAAACAGAGGCCUGGAGAGAAUAAGAACCUUGCCAACUUCCCCAGCCAGUGAGGGCAGGCGCAGAACCAGGCCUCUUCGUCCCAGGGGCACCGCAGGAUUGCAGAACCCUAGAAAGCUUGGGUGAGGGCCAUCUCAGGCAUCAAGCCCAACACAUUGGUUACCUCCAAGGUGCUGGCCCUGAGUGCACCGAGCUUGCUCUGUGCACCAAGUCAUUUAGCUCUCACCACACCCAUGAAUGGAGCAGCACCCUGCUCAUGGCAUUCUAGGGACGAAGCUGGGGUCUCAGAGUGGGAUCGGAGCCUGCCUCUGCCCAUGUUCCCUAAGCCUCCAUACCGCACAUGCAAGCCUGUCCUUCCAGGGCACAGGGUUGACUCAGCCUAGGCUGAAGCCCAGAAGUUUGCGAUCAUUUGUCUCAAAUAGGCUUCUCUGACCUGAGAGCAGCACUUUGACCUCACCCUCAACACUCCACCUCUCUGUCACCCAAGAGGAGUAGCUUCUCCCAGCAGGCUCCGCUCCUCCCAUCGUUUCGUGCUCAACGGCAAGGCCUUUGCUGACACUAUGCAAUCAGAUCAAAUUCAGAAGAGGAUGAGUGGAUGCAGCUACUACACUCCUUGGUUUCAAAUUUUGUGCUAAUUGAAACUGCCUCAUUGCUCUCAUUGAUUUUCUUUGUAACAGAUAAAUGCUAUUAAAUUGAAUUGCAAAAUAUAUAAUAAAAUACCACCAUUACUUGCAUUACCUACCAUAAGAUUUUGCUUUUAUAAAGUUCUGCCACUACAAAAAUUAUCUGGGCGAGGUGGUGGGCACCUGUAAUCCCAGCUACUCGGGAGGCUGAGGCAGGAGAAUUGCUGGAACCUGGGAGGCAGAGGUCACAGUGAGCCGAGAUCAUGCCACUGCACUCCAGCCUGGGUGACAGAGCAAGACUCCAUCUCAGGAAAAAAAAAAAAGUUUUGCCGCUAAACAUUGAAGACUCUUGCCUAAUUUUUCUGCCUUUCCAGAUGCUGACACAGCUGCAGUGCUUCUUGGUCACUGUGUACCCACAGAUGCUUGGGGUGGCAUGCAUGCAGCCUGAGGGAUAGUUCCAGUUCUUCCUUUUAGUCACCUUCUAAUUCUCAGGCUGGUCAUUUCCAUCAGCCUCAGCUUCCUUGGCUGCAUAAAGAGGAAGUAGACUACAGUAACUUCAGCUGAUGCCUGAAGUACCUGCUGGCUGGGACAGUCUAGGACUCUUUAAGUUGGAGCUCAGGGCAUUAAUGCACAGGGUGGUGUUAAUGCUGUGAAGGUAGCUGAUGAUAGGAGACAGCUAGAUGGAGCAGGAAUGGAGAGGCUGGUCUUCACAGAGGCAGAGGGAAGAAUUUGCAGGUGAUUUGAGCAGCUAGUGUACUGCCAUCUAGGUCACUGUUAUGGUUUGGGUUAUGUUAUGGUUGGGUCACUGUUAUGAGAUAUGGGUGUCCCCACCCAUAUCUCAUAUUGAAUUGUAGUUCCCAUAAUCCUCACGUGUCAUGGGAGGGAGCAGUUGGAGAUAAUUGAAUCAUGGGGGUGGGGGAGGUUUCCCUCUUCCUAUUCUCGUGAUAGUGAGUUCUCAUGAGAUCUGAUGGUUUUAUAAGGGGCUUUUCCCCCUUUUGUAAUGGACUUCACUCUUGCCUGCCACCAUGUAAGACGUGACUUUGCUCCUCCUUUGCCUUCUACCACAAUUGUGAGGCCUCUCCAACCAUGUGGAACUGUGAGUCUUUUUCUUUAUAUUAAACCUCUUUUUCUUUAUAAAUUACCCAGUCUCUCGUAUGUCUUUAUUAACAGCGUGAGAACAGACUAUUACAGUCACCAUGUUAGGGUCUGUGCUGCACAUUCUCCAGGUGUCCCUCCAGGAUCACUCUCCCUACUUCUCCAUCCUCCCUAUGCCCAGGACUGGAGGUGGAUGAUGCAUAUAAAUUGCAUC
rnacentral:lncRNA from 1 species